UACGUAGGGUGCGAGCGUUGUCCGGAAUUACUGGGCGUAAAGAGCUCGUAGGCGGUCUGUCGCGUCUGCUGUGAAAACUCAGGGCUUAACCCUGAGCUUGCAGUGGGUACGGGCAGACUAGAGUGCGGUAGGGGGGACUGGAAUUCCUGGUGUAGCGGUGAAAUGCGCAGAUAUCAGGAGGAACACCGGUGGCGAAGGCGGGUCUCUGGGCCGUAACUGACGCUGAGGAGCGAAAGCAUGGGGAGCGAACAGG
rnacentral:rRNA from 1 species